rfam:Cricetulus griseus cell line CHO-K1, whole genome shotgun sequence.
GAUGAGAUGGCCCAGUGGUUAAGGCUUUGGACUCAAAAUCCAAUGGGGUCUCCCCAUGAAGGUUCUAUCCUGCUCACAGCG